rnacentral:rRNA from 1 species
UCUCUGCAAAGGUUACUGAAGUAUAGAGGGUGAAUUCUGCCCAAUGGUUGUAUAGUGAAACUGAGGACUAACGUCUAAAGCGAAACCCAACUGAAUGGCCGCGGUAACUCUGACCGUGAUAAUGUAGCACAAUAAAUAGCCAAUUAAUUGUUGGCGGGUAUGAAUGGAACCACGAGGGUCUUACUGUCUCAAGAGGAAAGCCGAUGAAAUUAUAGUUGUAGUGAAGAUACUACAUAAACAUUGUAAGACGAAAAGACCCUAUCGAGCUUUACUGGAUAMCGAUAGCGUUAACUUAAAAUGAUCGAUACUAAGUAUCCUAAUUUUGAGUUAAUAAUUUUUGUUGGUAGGACAGUUUAGUUGGGGCGACUACCUUUGAAUAAGAAACGAAGGCGAGCUUAUGGUAUACAAAGAUAAUCUCAUUAGCCUGACAGUGAGGGGGACACCCCUAGCUGGCACAAGGACUACGUCCUAUGUGGGCGAUAGUGACCCGAUAUGAUUGACCAAAAUAAAUAUCGAAAGCGGAUAAAAGCUACCGUAGGGAUAACAGCGUAAUAUUGUCGGAGAGUUCUUAUCGAGGACAGUGUUUGCGACCUCGAUGUUGAAUUGCGGUGCCCUGGUGCUGUAGAAGGUACCUUAGGUUGGUCUGUUCGACCA